rnacentral:piRNA from 1 species
UAGCUCCUACCAAUCACUGACAAAUCCUAA